rnacentral:rRNA from 1 species
CCCUUAGAUGUUCUGGGCCGCACGCGCGCUACAUUGAUGCAUUCAACAAGCCUAGCCUUGACCGAGAGGUCCGGGUAAUCUUUGAAACUGCAUCGUGAUGGGGCUAGAUUAUUGCAAUUAUUAAUCUUCAACGAGGAAUGCCUAGUAAGCGUGAUUCAUCAAAUCGCGUUGAUUACGUCCCUGCCCUUUGUACACACCGCCCGUCGCUCCUACCGAUUGAAUGUGUUGGUGAGGAGCUCGGAUUGGCAGCAGUUGGUGGUUCGCCACCGGCUAUUGCUGAGAAGUCCUCCAAACCGCNCNAUUUAGNGGAAGGAGAANUCGUANCA